rnacentral:lncRNA from 1 species
UUUUUGGUCAAGGUAGUUUUUGAUGAAGCUGAAGUCCUAUCAACUUGAAACUUAGUACACUUGUUGCUUAUGAUAUGAUCUUUCUAAUUUUAAAGCCAAACUAGACUUUUGACCCCAAUUUCACGGUCCACUUAACAUAGAAAAUGAAAAUGGAAGUUUCAGGUUAAAGUUUUUGGUCAAGGUAGUUUUUGAUGAAAUUGAAGUCAAAUCAACUUGAAACUUAGUACACAUGUUCCCUAUAGUAUAAUCCUUCUAAUUUUAAUGCCAAAUUAGAUUUUUACCCUAUUUCACGGUCCAUGGGACAUGGAAAAUGAUUGAGUGGGGCAUCCG